rnacentral:rRNA from 1 species
UACGUAGGGUGCGAGCGUUAAUCGGAAUUACUGGGCGUAAAGCGUGCGCAGGCGGUUCGUUAAGUUCGAUGUGAAAGCCCCGGGCUCAACCUGGGAACUGCAUUGGAAACUGGCGAACUGGAGUGUGGCAGAGGGGGGUGGAAUUCCGCGUGUAGCAGUGAAAUGCGUAGAGAUGCGGAGGAACACCGAUGGCGAAGGCAGCCCCCUGGGCUGACACUGACGCUCAGGCACGAAAGCGUGGGGAGCAAACAGG